UACCUGGAUUGAAGUCUCUGCCGUUGCC
rnacentral:piRNA from 1 species